rnacentral:rRNA from 1 species
CGAUGCAACGCGAAAAACCUUACCUACCCUUGACAUGUCUGGAACCUUGGUGAGAGCCGAGGGUGCCUUCGGGAGCCAGAACACAGGUGCUGCAUGGCUGUCGUCAGCUCGUGUCGUGAGAUGUUGGGUUAAGUCCCGCAACGAGCGCAACCCUUGUCAUUAGUUGCUACAUUCAGUUGGGCACUCUAAUGAGACUGCCGGUGACAAACCGGAGGAAGGUGGGGAUGACGUCAAGUCCUCAUGGCCCUUAUAGUGGGGCUACACACGUCAUACAAUGGAUGGUACAAAGGGUCGCCAACCCGCAGGGGGAGCCAAUCCCAUAAAGCCAUUCGUAGUCCGGAUCGCAGUCUGCAACUCGACUACGUGAAGUCGGAAUCGCUAGUAAUCGCAGAUCAGCAUGCUCGCGGUCGAAUACGUUCCCGGGUCUU